GGGGAUGAAUGGUAUCGACAGGGGAGGAAGGCCUGGAACUGCAAGCCGAGGUGCCACUAGUCUUCUCGUAAAACAAGUGGCAAGCCAGUAACUGGCAACCGUUCUUACGCUCUCGCCGCUUAAUUAGCUAAGCGGCCGUCCACCUCAGUCUCACCCCGAUGGGCUGGGAGUGGGCGUGAUAAUGUCGGGGUGCUGCUGGCCUGACACCGAUAAGGCUGGCUUAAGACUAAUCGGCUGGUGCCCGACGCAGCGGUCGGCAGCGGCGGCGGACACGAGAGUCAAGAGCCGACUAAGCUUGUAGUACGUUCCGGGAAGAAUCCACUGGACGGGGGUUCGAUUCCCCCCAUCUCCACCA
rnacentral:tmRNA from 1 species